GUGGGAUGAGAGGUACGCCCCAUACAUUGGGCGUGCAGGCUUCCUACCGUUGGCCCGGUUGGUCAUGACCGGGUUGCCCAUGUUCGACAAUGCAGCUUUGACGGCGCUAGUCGACCGCUGGAGGCCUGAGACACACACCUUCCAUCUCCCUUGCGGCGAGCUCACGGUCACUCUUCAGGAUGUGGCCAUGAUACUCGGGCUUCCAGUCGACGGCCAGCCUGUUUGCGGGAAUGUGCAACCCGCAGGGUGGAGAGACAUGGUCAAGAUGAUUGUUGGGAGUAGGCCACCAGAGCCUGCGCAGGACGCGAAGGACAAGAAGCCUUCAGGCGUCAGCUCUGCUUGGUUAGCUCAGAACUUUACAGAAUGUCCUCACGAUGCAGCGGACCAUGUCGUCGAGAGGUACGCCCGUGCUUGGUUGUGGCAUCUAGUUGGAGGCUACUUGUUCCCUGAUGGGAGUGGGAACAUAGUAUCGUGGAUGUACUUGCCGCUACUAGGAGAGGAAUGGGAGAACGUCGGCCUUUACAGUUGGGGAUCAGCCACGUUAGCAUGGCUAUACCGGCAGUUAUGUGAUGCUUGCUGGCGUAGUGGGGAUCAUGCCAACCUUGGUGGAUGCGCGUACCUCCUGCAGGUCUGGAUGUGGGAGCGCCUACCGGUUGGCAGACCCGAUCGUUUCUCCCCCAGGGUUUGGCAGUUCGAGGACGAGGGCUCGCUCCCUACUGUUGCUUUCUUAUGGAGAAACGUCCGGGUAGUGACUAGAAAUGCAGGAAGGCGCUACCUCUUCUACACUAACGAGCUAGACUGCAUCAUGCAGAGCCACGUAAGUGCGAUUGGUUUUGAAUUUCAUAUGGUACGCACUUGCAUAAGCCAACUGACAUUUACGCUUUGCAUCAGGUGACAUGGGAGCCAUACGACCGGCACGAGAUCCUUUCGAUGGGUCUAAGCCCUUUGUGUACACGGGACAUGGAGUAUUGGCGGUCUGUUCUCCUGCUAAUUUGCUUUUAUAUUGUAGAGAUGCAUUGUCCAAACCGUGUGAUGAGAUAGUUCGGGAGGUUGCAGCGGACACCUCCGGACACGACACCCACGUCCGUGGCUCUGCACAAAAUUGAUAGGAGGAAACAACGCGGCGCUCGCGAUUGGCGUGACGUGCACCACAACUACUUGGUGCAAUGGAGCAACCGGGCGCAGACAAUCAUUCACGGUGGACCCGCCCACCGCUCGGGUCCGUACCGUGACCACCUAAGGUGGUUGCAUGACUCUUCCAGGUUGGCAAUCAA